GAUGAACGCUGGCGGCGUGCCUAAUACAUGCAAGUCGAGCGAACGGACGAGAAGCUUGCUUCUCUGAUGUUAGCGGCGGACGGGUGAGUAACACGUGGAUAACCUACCUAUAAGACUGGGAUAACUUCGGGAAACCGUAGCUAAUACCGGAUAAUAUUUUGAACCGCAUGGUUCAAAAGUGAAAGACGGUCUUGCUUUCACUUAUAGAUGGAUCCGCGCUGCAUUAGCUAGUUGGUAAGGUAACGGCUUACCAAGGCAACGAUGCAUAGCCGACCUGAGAGGGGGGUAGGCGACACGGGAAGGGGGACGGGGACAAUACGCCUACGGGAGGGAGCAGUAGGGAAUGUUAGGCAAUGGGGGAAAGCCUGACGGAGCAAGGCGGAGUGAGAGAUGAAGGUGUCGGGAGCGGAAAAAUCGGUUUUGAGGGAAGAACAGUUGUGUAAGUAACUGAGCACAGCUUGACGGUACCUAAUAAGAAAGCCACGGCUAACUACGUG
rnacentral:rRNA from 1 species